rnacentral:hammerhead_ribozyme from 1 species
AUCCAGAUGACACGAGUCCCAAAUAGGACGAAAUACGCGUUAUCCUGGAU